ACCUAAAUAGUUUAAUUAAAAAUAUUAGUUUGUGGGACUGAAGUUAUAACAAAGUUAUUUUGGGUA
rnacentral:tRNA from 1 species